AAGAAAGGGUGCCAGAGCCAG
rnacentral:piRNA from 1 species